UACGAAGGGGGGCUAGCGUUGCUCGGAAUCACUGGGCGUAAAGGGUGCGUAGGCGGGUCUUUAAGUCAGGGGUGAAAUCCUGGAGCUCAACUCCAGAACUGCCUUUGAUACUGAAGAUCUUGAGUCCGGGAGAGGUGAGUGGAACUCCGAGUGUAGAGGUGAAAUUCGUAGAUAUUCGGAAGAACACCAGUGGCGAAGGCGGCUCACUGGCCCGGUACUGACGCUGAGGUGCGAAAAGCGUGGGGGAGCAAACAGG
rnacentral:rRNA from 1 species